rnacentral:rRNA from 1 species
GUGAACGCUGGCGGUAGGCCUAACACAUGCAAGUCGAACGGCAGCACAGUAAGAGCUUGCUCUUACGGGUGGCGAGUGGCGGACGGGUGAGGAAUACAUCGGAAUCUACUUUUUCGUGGGGGAUAACGUAGGGAAACUUACGCUAAUACCGCAUACGACCUACGGGUGAAAGCAGGGGAUCUUCGGACCUUGCGCGAUUGAAUGAGCCGAUGUCGCAUUAGCUAGUUGGCGGGGUAAAGGCCCACCAAGGCGACGAUCCGUAGCUGGUCUGAGAGGAUGAUCAGCCACACUGGAACUGAGACACGGUCCAGACUCCUACGGGAGGCAGCAGUGGGGAAUAUUGGACAAUGGGCGCAAGCCUGAUCCAGCCAUACCGCGUGGGUGAAGAAGGCCUUCGGGUUGUAAAGCCCUUUUGUUGGGAAAGAAAAGCAGCAGGUUAAUACCCCGCUGUUCUGACGGUACCCAAAGAAUAAGCACCGGCUAACUUCGUG